GCUAACCUUAACACUAAGACUGUCGUAAGUCCAUGUCAAGGUAUGAGAGUUGUGUUAACCUUAACACUAAGACUGUCGUAAGUCUAUGUCAAGGUAUGAGAGUUAUGCUAACCUUAACGCUAAGAAUGAUUUGUACAACGGCACCCUGGCAAGCUUUUCUUGAAACAUUCGUAGCCCCAUGAAUUUCUUAAACCCAUUAUUAACACAUUGGCUAUGAUCAAAGUUAAGAAUUCAUAGGGCUACGACCAUUUCGAGAAUACAGGCCAUUAACUCCAGUAACUUAUUAAGAGUGAAAAUCCAUUAUGUGCUUUCAGUGUUUCAGUAUAAUUACUUUCAUUAGAAUAUUUAUCCAGAACUAUGUGCAUGUAUAAUGAGCAUGUCUAACCAGUUUUGAAGUUUCAUCUGCGUGCUUCAGUAAUUCUUGUCCAGAACGUUCUGUCUUCACAGACUGAUUUACACCAUGCUCAAAUUGAAGAAGUGUUCACUCCAGUAUUGUACAGUAGGUGUUGUAGCUGUAGAUAUGGUCUGUGUCAUGUGCUCGGUAGUGGGACUCUGAUAGUCAGUAGUGUUGUCAAAAGAGAACUACUGUGAUUGAGAUGAUAUUCAGAAACCUUAGUGCUGGAGUACUGACAGCUGAUCAGGUUUUCCUCAUGGAUAUUCUGAUUCUACCAAGAUGUGGGUACAAAUCAAAAUAAUUUAUUUAUGAUGUGUCUUUCAAACACUUGAAUUAAAGAUAAUAGAAGAAGAACUAUAUGUUUUCUAAUAUGUAUUUAUAACAAAAAAUUGUGUUAAAUUAAAGCUAAGUUUAGGAUGAUCCACAAAGAGGAAGACAGUUGAGUUGAUUUAACUAUAAGAUGGUUUUUAUACUGAUACACACAUGAUGUAGUUAGCUGAUACCAAGUGAUGGGUUCCAGUGCAAUGGCUUUAGAACGAAAUAGUAUUUAAUCAUUUUUACAUUAUUUUUUUUUUUUCAUGUGACCCUCUUUCAACUGAAAACCUACCAGAGCAAAUGUAGAUAGUUUGCAGGAAAUGUGAAUUUCAAAUACUGUAUUUAGCUCCUUUACUGUUUACAUACGAUAUUUAAGCAAUUCCUUCUGUAAUAAGCCCCCGGGCACUUAAAGAUGAACUCUUUGGCAGUUUUCUGUUUAACCACAGACUGCAAGUAUGGAAUGCUGCUGUUGUGACAGGGACAUUGGCUAAUGUGACAAUGGUAUUAGCAUUGUGAUGUCAUAACUGUCAACCAUUAUGACGUCAUACGUCUACCGGUAUUACACAAUAUACACUGCAGUAAUAAAAUGAUGUCAUAAUGCAUUAGGGAUCACUGUGACAUCAUUAGUCGCCAUGACAUCACUGAUCUCUCUUGCACUGAAACUGGAUUUGAUUUAGGAUUAGUCCCCAACAACCAGGGUCCCCAUAGAUUUUCCAUUUUGUAAUGUUGAUCUAGAUUUUUAAUUAAUUUUGAAAUCUCCUUAGCUUAACAAUUAUACAGGUAUUGCGUAAUGUUUUUUGCAUAAGGUAACGGGAUCCCAUUAAUGUUGUUUUUAAAACCUUGAUAUUUCCUUUGUAUAUCAACAGCUUAGAAGUACUAAUUGUUUCCUCCUGCAUGUAGUAGCACUGUAACCCUCUCCACAGAGGAACCUUGUUGUGUCUGACAGUAGCCCUCAGUGAAACUCUCGGAAUGUGUGCUACAUGGUCUAGUGGUCAGCAGCCCGUGUCAGCCCAUAAUUACAAUAAUAGGCACUACAGUAAUGCUCAAUAUGACUGACAUGUUUUUAUAUGGAAGUAGCACUUGACUCACCACUAACACUGAAUGUUUUAGCAGGGUCAGAAGCCGCAUCUCACGAUGUUCCAGAAACCUGUAGUCAUGGGUUCAAAUCCCAGUUCUUCAAGGUUAUUCAGCUCCUCAGCCGUGCCCAUGAGUGUCAGCAUGCCCAUGAGUGUCAGCCGUGCCAGUGAGUGUCAGCCUGCCCAUGAGUGUCAGUGUGCCCAUGAGUGUCAGCCUGCCCAUGAGUGUCAGCGUGCCCAUGAGUGUCAGCGUGCCCAUGAAGCGUGCCCAUGAGUGUCAGCAUGCCCAUG
rnacentral:lncRNA from 1 species